rnacentral:rRNA from 1 species
CCCGCUCAGAAACUCAAAGGAUUGACGGGGCCCGCACAAGCGGUGGAGCAUGUGGUUUAAUUCGAUGAUACGCGAGGAACCUUACCUGGGCUCAAAUGUAUGUUGACGUAUUCUGAAAGGGAUACUUCUUCGGACAAUAUACAAGGUGCUGCAUGGUUGUCGUCAGCUCGUGCCGUGAGGUGUCGGGUUAAGUCCCAUAACGAGCGCAACCCCUAUCAUUAGUUGCCAUCAGGUCAAGCUGGGGACUCUAAUGAAACUGCCUACGCAAGUAGUGAGGAAGGUGGGGAUGACGUCAAAUCAGCACGGCCCUUACGUCCAGGGCUACACACGUGCUACAAUGGCCGGUACAAAGGGCAGCUACCUGGUGACAGGAUGCUAAUCUCAAAAGCCGGUCUCAGUUCGGAUCGGAGUCUGCAACCCGACUCCAUGAAGUUGGAAUCGCUAGUAAUCGCGCAUCAGCAUGGCGCGGUGAAUACGUUCCCGGGCCUU